rnacentral:rRNA from 1 species
GUGCCAGCCGCCGCGUAAUUCCAGCUCCAAUAGCGUAUAUUAAAGUUGUUGUGGUUAAAAAGCUCGUAGUUGAACCUUGGGCCUGGCUGGCCGGUCCGCCUCACCGCGUGCACUGGUCCGGCCGGGCCUUUCCCUCUGUGGAACCCCAUACCCUUCACUGGGCGUGGCGGGGAAACAGGACAUUUACUUUGAAAAAAUUAGAGUGCUCCAGGCAGGCCUAUGCUCGAAUACAUUAGCAUGGAAUAAUAAAAUAGGACGCGCGGUUCCAUUUUGUUGGUUUAUAGGACCGCCGUAAUGAUUAAUAGGGACAGUCGGGGGCAUCAGUAUUCAACUGUCAGAGGUGAAAUUCUUGGAUCAGUUGAAGACUAACUACUGCGAAAGCAUUUGCCAAGGAUGUUUUCAUUAAUCAGGAACGAAAGUUAGGGGAUCGAAGACGAUCAGAUACCGUCGUAGUCUUAACCAUAAACUAUGCCGACUAGGGAUCGGACGGUGUUAUUCAUGACCCGUUCGGCACCUUACGAGAAAUCAAAGUGCUUGGGCUCCAGGGGGAGUAUGGUCGCAAGGCUGAAACUUAAAGAAAUUGACGGAAGGGCACCACCAGGGGUGGAGCCUGCGGCUUAAUUUGACUCAACACGGGGAAACUCACCAGGUCCAGACACAAUAAGGGAUUGACAGAUUGAGAGCUCUUUCUUGAUUUUGUGGGUGGUGGUGCAUGGCCGUUCCUAGUUGUGGGUGACUUUGUCUGCUUAAUUGCGAUAACGAACGAGACCUUAACCUGCUAAAUAGCCCGCAUUGCUCCGGGCAGUGCGCUGGCUUCUUAGAGGGACUUUC